rnacentral:snoRNA from 1 species
CCAGUGUGGAUACCCCGGGAGGUCACUCUCCCUUGGCUCUGUCCAGGUGGCGGAGGGGAGCAUCGGGCUCUGCCCGUGAUGUACAGUCCCUUUCCACAACGUUGGAGAGAAAGCCGGGCCUAGAGUCUGCGCCUGCAUAUUCCUACAACUUCUCAGAGUCCUGUGGAUGAUGACUGAGGAGUCAAACCAUGCAGGAAACAUCU